CUCUGUCUCUUAUUUCCUCUGCCUUGAUUUGAGUCUUCAUUUCUCCUUUGCUUCUAUGCCUCCUCUCUCUUUCUCCUUCUAUCUGCCUCUCUCUGUCUCUCCUUGUUUCUGUUUCCCAUGUCAUCCUUGUAGAACUGCUUGAAAAAAGACACAGGGAGCCCGCCUGGACAACAGGCUGAGCUGACACCACCACCAUUCGCUCUACCAGCACAACUCCAAAAUCGCUACAAAUUGCUAUGAGCCCUCAGUGAAUUUCUGUGGCUUCAGUGAAGGGGACAUGAGUCAAUGACAAAUACAGAGGCAGAGAACUGCGUAUUUCCAGUUAGGGACUUUUAGAAUGGAUCUGGGCACGCACAGGAAAUCGGGGAUGCCAGGAGGCAGAAAUGAGGUGGGAGAAAGCUUCAGAAAGCAGAGACAAUCACUGAAAACACCCAGAAUCAAGAUCUAGAGAACUUGUGAGAGGGAAGAACAGCAAAGUGGCCGGUGCAACUGGAUUGCAAAAUAUGUGGAAGUACUUUCAUCAGCUCUCAAAUUCUCCUGGAUAUUGGACCACCUCUAGUGUUUUGUUUUUCCUAGGGCUUUCUUAAUUUGCUUCCAACCUGGCCCCUGCAGUCACAAUCCAGAGGGACAACACUUGGAAAGAAGGGCUCCAUGACCUUCAACACUAUGAACACCAACCUCUAACCAGCUACCACUAAUAGGCCAGUAAUCCGGCCCAGCUUAAAGCAGCAAGAUAAGAUGCCCUGAAGAAGAGAUGAGAUGUGGAAUACAGAAAGGACAAACCAUUACCAUCACCCCCAAAACACCUUACCUCAGACCCUGGUGGCUACAGCUCAGAAUUCUGUGCCCAAAUGCCCAAGGGAUGGCAGUGUCCCUACCCUCAAAACUACUGGUCCUACUUCCAGCCCAUUCUCCAAAGCCAUCAUGCAGGGGAGCAAAACCUUGCACAUAUGUGACCUAGUACUUGUCUCUGCAGAUGCUCCAGCCACACACCCUCACCGUCCACAACUAUCAAAGACCCAGGAAAAAACAAAAUCGCACCACCAAAAACCUUGGCGUUGUCAAAUACUUCAACAUCAGAAAUGACCGUGGUUUUUUAUCAAUGGAAAUGACACUACAGAAGAUAUUGCCAUCAUCCUUGCUGCUACAUCCUAAGGACCACUGGGCUUUUCCAUCUACCCCGAAGCUAAACUCUAUGAGUUAUUUAUUAGAAAGUGAGCUCUUUGAGAGCAGGGACUGUCUUACUUUUCUUCUUGUGUCCCCAUUG